UUCAUUGGCAACACCUCCCUUCAACAUUCUCAAGCUUGCUUUCCAAGUUAUCUGAUAUCUUCCUUUUCUUCCCUUUUGAAGCAUACAUCCAUCAAAAACAACAAUGGCUAUCCGCCUGCCUCGUAUGGUUAGUUCUAAGAAGGUUCCCAAGGGAUACUUUGCAGUUUAUGUUGGAGAAAGCCAGAAGAGGUUAGUGAUACCGGUUUCAUUCUUGAACCAUCCUUCAUUUCAAGAUUUGCUAGGGAAGUCAGAAGAAGAGUUUGGAUAUAGUCAUCCUACCGGUGGUCUCACAAUUCCCUGCAACGAAGACACCUUUCUCGAAGUUACCUCUCGCCUGUAUUGAUCGUGAGAUGAUUAACACAAACCAGUCAAUACAAUCUUGUAAAGCAAAAAUCACUAAAUACAUGUAAACAUUUUUUUCUCCAUCCUUUUUGUCUUGGGGAGCUGAUAUAUAAGUCACCCCAAGUGGAAAACUAAAGAUGGUGAUUACUGUAACACUCCUAUCUAUUCAGUAAUGACAGUUCCAAACACAUCAUUCAGUUGUCAUUUUAUUUCCUUUCUGAAAUUUUUACUUGUUUUACGUUAAUUCCGUCUUUAAUAUAAUUUAAAUGAUCUACCUUAUUCGAAAUUACUUCAUACUACAAGCCAAGUUAAAUGGAGAAGCAGUAGAGUACAACUAUUCUACUUUGAAGAAGCAUUUUAAAGAUGAAAAUUAAAACACAUCAUUCAAUUGAAAAUUUAUUUCCUUUGAGAAUUUCCUAUGGUACCCCUGUUAUUGUUAAUUUCAUCUUUAAACUGUAAGUGAUCCAUAUUUUUUCAACAAUUACUUCAUAUUACAAGCUAACUGUAAAUUACUAGCAUUUAUCAUUUUUCUCUACAUAUACGAGUAGUAAGGGUGCUUCCCACUGUCCAAUAUGAAUAUAAUUGUACAUAUAUAAUCUAACAUAAUGUAAAUUUCUGUAUUCUUUUGUCUCCAUUGUUCCUGUAAAGGAAAUUCAAAGUAAAAUUCACCACCCACUUUUAUUCUCCUUUUUGCAAACAAUGACUACUUAAUAUAUAGAUGUCAGCAAGUGGAAUGUAAGGCCACCAUCAUCAUCACUUCUUCUAUUCAAAUUCCCUUUUGACCAGUCGUCUUAUCUCCCCUUAUCCCAUUCAUUUAGCUAAAGUGUUAAGCUUACUGUUACUAAUAAAUGGUCAAUAUAUGCAGAGAACUCCACAAACAUGCCAUCAGUAAUGUGGAUUAAAAUCAUAUUCAUCUGUCAGGCUUAAUAUUGUCUUUCUCCCCCAUGGUACAAUUUGAUUGCAGCACAGCAUAGACAACAAGACGGAUAAAAAUGCAAGAAGUUGGGUUCUGACGAGGACUAGUUGCAGCCUAUAAGACACACUUCAGGUGUUCUUCACAAGCGUUUGUCUUACAAGUUACUCAUUGAAGUUAACACAUGACUGAUCAGACCAUGUGAUUUACCAAUGAAUUCUUGAUAAUCCUUUGGAAGACAACACCAUGUGAUUCCCCAUGACCCUAUGUCCUUCUCAUUACUGAUCAGACCCCAGCAAUAUGUCCCUUCACCACUCAUUCCCUUUGGCCCCCUUACAUCUAUAUAUACAAGUAUGAUUAUGUUCAUAUGCAACACAUAUCUUCACAUCCUCAAAGUACUACAGUUCUCUGAGAUCUUCUUCUACCCUUUUGAAGCAUACCUCUAUUGGAAAACAACCAUGGCUAUCCGCUUGCCUCAUAUCGUUGGUUCUAAGAAAGUUCCCAAGGGCUACUUUGCAGUUUAUGUUGGAGAAAACCAGAAGAGGUUCGUGAUACCAGUGUCGUUCUUGAGCCAGCCUUUAUUCCAAGAUUUGCUUGGCAUGUCACAAGAGGAGUUUGGAUAUAGCCAUCCUACAGGCGGUCUCGCGAUUCCCUGCAACGAAGACAUUUUUCUCGAUGUUACCUCUCGUUUGAAUUGAUUGUGAGAGAGUCAACCCAAAUCAGCCUAUACAAUUUUGUAAGCAAAAAUCACUAACACCAUGUAAGCAUUUUUUCCUCCAUCCUUUUUGCCUUGGGGAGCAGAUACAAGUCUCCCUAAGUGAAAAAUUAGAGAUGGUGAUUACUGUAACUUCUAUCAAUCAGUAUGGAAAAUGACAAUUCAAAAGGCAUCAAUAAAAUGGAACUUUAUUUACUUCCAGAAUUUCCUAUCUUUAAAUUAACUGUAAAUGAUCUAUGUUGGAACUUAAGCAGUAAAACAAAAACAAAAACAGCAGACUAAGCAAAGAAAUCGAAGCAUAAACAAAAUGAAAAAAAUUGGGAGAAUUGUAACCGAAAAAAUUCAUCUUAAUUUUUCAUUCAAAAUUUGAAUAAUAUAUAAGUUACAAAGUAAUGGGCAGUUAGCUAAUGACUUAAUUGCUUCCACUAAUACAAGACUAAGAUUUGUUUGAAUUACACACAAAAGAUAGCUGACAUAUCAGCUAUUACAUCAACUUAGAUCAUAAACUAAUCCUACUAACUUUGUAAACAAAUUACAAAUGAAUUAGCCAAAGUUACAUAGGAAAAAAAUGAUCAAAACAUAUUGUUGCAUUCGGUUCAGCUCCAUUUCUGCACUUCAAACAGUCUUGCUGCUGGUGUUGUGCUGAACUGCAACUGGUCUCCUGUUGCAAUGCAGGCCAAAGCUAGUAGCUCCUAAUGGCUUAGUUAAAAUGUCAGCCAAUUGAGUUUCUGAGCUACAAUGGACAAACAAGAUUGACUUCCCUUGAUUGCUCAGCUUCUCGAACAAAAUGGAAUUUGAUUUUAAAGUGUUUAGUCUUGCCAUAAAAGACUGGAUUUUUGGUUAUAACAACUGCAGAUUGGUUAUCCACCCUAAUCUCAGUUGGUUCAGCUUGUUCUUCAUUAAGAUCAUAUAGGAGCUUCCUAAGCCAAAUGGCUUGAUUAACAGCUGCAGCUGCUGCAAUGUAUUCUGCUUCAGCUAUGGAUUGAGCAACAGUUUGUUGUUUCUUUGAACUCCAGAAGAAGACACCUGAUCCAAGUGUAAAGAAGUAACCAGAGGUGUUCUUCAUGUCAUCGGCAGAGCCAGCCCAAUCACUAUUAGAGUAUCCUGCUAGCUUAAGCUCCUUUCCCUUCUCAAACUUGACUCCAUAACUUGAAGUUCCCUUGACAUAUCUGAGAAUUCUCUUGGCUGCUUUGAAAUGAACCACAUCAUAGCAGUGUAUAAACCUUGACAAAAGACUAACACCAAACAUAAUAUCAGGCCUAGUUACUGUUAAGUAAAGCAAGCAACCUACCAGGCUUCGAUAUUCCUUCUCAUCAAUUCUCACUUGAUUCCCAUUGCUAGUCAGCUUCUCCCCUUGAGCCACAGGUGUGCUGACUAUUUUGCAGUUCUGCAUAUAAAGUUUAUUAAGAAUUUUUAAAGCAAAGGCAUGUUGAAUAAUGAAAAUACCUUGAUCAGAUUGAUGCACUUCCAUACCAAGGAAGUAUGUCAUGACUCCCAAAUCUGUCAUUUCUAGUCAGCUUCUCCCCUUGAGCCACAGGUGUGCUGACUAUUUUGCAGUUCUGCAUAUGAAGUUUAUUAAGAAUUUUUAAAGCAAAGGCAUGUUGACUAAUGAAAAUACCUUGAUCAGAUUGAUGCACUUCCAUACCAAGGAAGUAUGUCAUGACUCCCAAAUCUGUCAUUUCAAACACCUCUUGCAUCUGCACUUUGAAUUCACUAAUCACUUCAUGUUUGCUUCCAGUCACAAGUAAGUCAUCCACAUAGAGAGAAACAAUCAGCAAUGUCUCACUUUCUGACCUCUUCACAUAAAGUGUAGCCUCAAUAACACUUUUUUCAAACCUGAGCCUAGACAGGUAUGUGUCAAUCCUAUCAUACUAGGGUCUUGGUACCUGCUUCAGGCUAUAAAGAGUCUUUCUCAAUCUAUAGACUUUGUCUUCAUCACCUACAACUUUGAAUCCAUCAAGUUGCUCAAUGAAAAUCUCCUCCUUGAGGAAACCAUUCAAAAAUGCUGACUUAACAUCUAAUUGAUGAACAUUCCAUUACUUCUGAGUAGCCAAGGCAAAAAAAAGUUUAAUUGUGUCCAGCCUUGCCACUAGAGCAAAUGUCUCCGUGAAAUCGAUGUCAUAUUGCUGGCUGUAGCCUUUUACCACAAGCCUUGUCUUGUGCUUGUUCAAUGAGCCAUCAGCAUUUUACUUGGCUCUAAACACCCACUUAACACCAAUGACCCUCUUAUGAUCAGGUCUGUUCACCAGUUCCCAUGUAUCAUUCUUGUAGAUCAUUUUCAAUUCAGCUUCUAUGGCCCUUUUCCAAUGUUUGUCAUUGGCAGUUUCUUUAAAAUCAGAGGGUUCAACUAUUGCAACAUCACAUCUUUGAUAGAUGUCAAUAAUAGUUUUGGUGCCUCUCACAGGAGCAUCAUCAAUGGCUUCAUUGCUGGGUCCUUCUUCAGCAGGUUCAAGAACAAAAUCUUGCUAAUCUUCUUCAAUCAAGCUGGCAUCAACACCUUUCCAGCUCCAAACCUUACAUCCCUACUCACCAAAAUCUUCUUUGUUGAGGGAUCAAACACUUUAUAGUCCUUCUUAGUACUACUAUAGCCAACAAAGAUCCCUGGAACAACUCUUCUUUCAAGCUUGGUCCUUUUUUCUACUGGAGAGCAUAACACACACAGCCAAACACUUCCAGGUGUGAAACAAUUGGCUUAAGUCCAUACCAAGCUUCAAAAGGAGUCUUGUCCUUGACAGCAUGAGUUGGUAGCUUAUUGAGUAGGUACACUGAAGUAUUGACUACCUCAGCCCAAAAUUUGCUUGGCAGUUUGCUCUGAAAUAGCAAAUAUCUAGCCAUAUCAAGCACAGUUUUAUUCUUCCUACCUGAGACCAUUGCCGGAAUCGAGCACGAAGCAUUACCUAACUUAACUUACUAAAUCGGAGCAUAAAAAUUUUCUUUUUAAAAAAAAUUAAUUCACUCACGUUCAAUCAAUAUGUCCCUAAAAAGGAUCAUCAAGACCCUAAAACAUGCAAUGAAAAUGGUUCAGGUCCAAACCGGGAAUAUUAAAAAUUUUUCAAAUACUUAAACAAAUUAAAAAUAAUUUAUCACUAUUCACAAUAAAACUGUCCAACUGCACAGUAGUCACUAAAUUAAUUAUAACUUGAGUUACGAAACUAGAAAUUUAAAUAUGUAAAAUUUCUCUAAAACUAGACUCAUAUAUCUUAUUAUCAUAAAAUUUUCAGAAUUUUUGGAUUGGCCAAUUAGUACAGUUUAUUAGUUAAAGUCUCCCCUGUUUCACUAUUUGAUAGUUUUGACCUCUCGUCACUAAAAAUUAAUUAUCUCAUUGUACAGAUUUCAUAUGCUACUUCCGCUUGUUUCUACUGAAAAUAGACUCACCAAGGAAUCAAGAAAUAUAAAUUAUAACUCAUAAUUAUUUCUGUACAAUUUUUAAUAAUUUUCCAAAUUCAGGACAAGGGAUUUCAAAAUCAUUCUGACCCUAUCUCACUAAAAUUCAAAUAUCUCAUAAUAUAAAAUUCAUUUGCCUAUACCGUUUCUUUCAUAUGAAAAUAGACUCGAUAAUAUUUAAUCCUAUCUCACAUUCACUAUCUAAUUCCAUUACUAAUAUCCUCAGUGAAAUUUUCAAAAUCACAUCACUGCUACUGUCCAAGAAAAAAAACUAUUCCAUUGUAUUUUUUUUUUUACUCUUUCAUAAUUUCUUUGUAUUAACUAGCAUUUAGGCAUACAUAACACUAAACAUAUUCUUAAUUAGUCAUCUCAAUAGCUAAUCAUUAUCAAAUAACUUUACUUCCCUAUUUCAACCUUUUUCGAAACACAAUCCAAACAAUUAACCAUGUUAUUUAAUCAAGCAUGAAACCACACAUAUCAAAAUAAACAAGCCAUUUUUGCAUGGCUCAUUAUACAUAUAUAUACAUCAUUCAAAAUAUAUUCCAAAAAGUAGUAUAGACUAUACAUGCCAUAAGUUUAAGUUUAACUUUUAUAGAUACCGAUAACGGACGAUAGUGUGAUUGAUUUCGUUAACGAUCCCCGAUCCCGCAACUAACUUCCAAAAUCUAUAAAACCGAGGCAAACACAUAUGCACAGUAACCUAUCAAAGCUUAGUAAGUCAUAAGCAAAUAAACAAUCCAAUGUUAUUAAUAGUUCAAUAUCACAUAACCAAAUUAUUCAAUUCAUAUCCAUAUAUAUAUAUAAGCAUUAAAAAAAAAACAUAAUUGUGAUAUCACAUACCCUUAUCAUUUGGCCAAAUAUAGUCUUUAAUACACACACACAUACUUUCAUUUACAUCAUCUAAUUUGUAUCACAAAUGAAAUAACCAACUUACCUUGAUAUCAUAUAUUAUUUAACUAUUACAUACUUGUAAUAUCAUGUACUUAUAUGUCACAUUCAUCAUUCACUGGAUCCGCACAAUUUGUGCUAAAUAAUUUGUUGAAGCUAUAAUGACGUUGCACAAUUAGUGCUCUCUCUUAUUUAACGAAAUUGAUCUUGGUAUUGCACACUUAGUGCUCGUUAUUCGACAUCGUCAUUUUUGUUUCGCACACUUAGUGCCCGUUAUUCAACGUCUUCAUUUUAAUUUCUCACACUUAGUGCCAUUCGUAUAGCCAUAGCUAUUCCAUACUCGCACACUCAGUGCUAAAUAUCGGUAAAUCACAUCCACAUCUAUUUCUGUUACCCGAACUUAAACACAUUCAGCUACAUAUAUAUAAAUUUGCAUGUUUUCAUUUCAGAAUAUAUAUAACUAAUAUUUAUUUAGAAUUUAUAUCAUCUAUUUGCUUAUAAACUUACCUCGGAUAACGAUAAACCGGAACGGAACGAUUAAUCGACGACUUUUGUUUUCCCCCGAUCCAAGUCCGAUUUCUUUAAUUCUUGACCUAAACAUAUUCAAAUUAAACUCAUUCAAACAUAAUUUCAUUCAAUUCAGUCAAAAACGCAUAAAUAAGUAACUUUCACUUUUGCCCCUGACAUUUCACAUUUUUUACAAUUUAGCCCAUAUUUCACAAAAUACAAAAUAUUCCAAAUUUGACCACACUAUGGCUUGGCCGAAUAUUCCCUAAACUCAUAUAAGUCCAUACAUGUCAUUUAUUUCACAUAUUUAACACCUAUUUUAUAACCUUUACAAAAUGGUCCUUUUAAGUGUUUUCAUGGUAACACCUUUUACAAAAGUUGUUUAUUUAACAACUAGGAGUCAUUUUCUUCCAUAAAAAUGCAGCAACAUCACAUGGAAAAACCCUAGACUUCCAACUAUUUUGCAAAAUAGUCCCCUCAUUAGCUAGCUCAAGCUACAAGGGUUCCAAAAGUACAAAAAUUAUCAAAGAAUGGUCAUCAAAACACUUACUUGUAAGGAGAAAAGCUUGCUGAAAUUUUUAAGCUCUCAAACCCCUACUUUGCUGCUAAUUUUCGGUGAUGAAGGUGGAGAAAAAAAGAUGAUAUCACUCUUUUCUUUAUUUUAUGAUAAAAAUCAAUUUAGUCACCAAAUUUUUACCUAACCAAUUGACCAAAUCUUUUCUUUGUCCCUAUGGCCGGCCACCACCCUAAACAAGGCCUAAUUGCACAUUAGGGACCUCCAAUUAAUAUUCUAUAGCUUUUAGACACCUUUAGCUUGUAAAGUAGAACUUUUACACUUUAUGCGAUUUAGUCCUUUUAUCAAAUUAAGCACACAAACAGUAAAAUUAAAUCACGAAAUUUUCACACAUAUUAAUUCACAAGUUAUAAACAUAGAAAAUAAUAUUUAAAAAUUUUUCUAACUCGAAUUUGUGGUUUCGAAACCACUAUUCCGAUUAGGAUCGAAAUCGGGUUGUUACACAUACUCCAUUCUGUUGAGGAGUAUACACUGUUGUUAGCUGAUUGUGAAUUCCAACUUGUUCACACAGUUUCUGAAACCUUUCAGAUAGGUACUCAGUGCCAUUAUCAGUUCUCAAGGCCUUGAUCUUGCAACCUGUUUGGUUUUCAACUAAACCUUUGAAUUUGCUGAAUGCUUCAAACACUUCAGAUUUUUGCUUCAAGAAAUAAACCCAACAGAACCUGGUUAAGUCAUCUAUGAACAAAACAAAAUACUUAUUGUCAUUCAAUGAAGAAGUCUUCAUUGGUCCACAAACAUCAUAAUGAACCAAUUCAAGCUUUUCUCGAGCUCUCCAUGCACUGUUAGCUGGAAAAGGCAAUCUAGCCUGCUUACCAAGCUGGCAGACUUCACAAACAAUGUUUCUUAUCUCAACCCUAGACAUGUCCUCAACCAAGUUCAGCCUAUGCAACAAGUCAAGUGAUCUAUGGUUAACAUGGCCAAGCCUUUUGUGCCAUAGGCCAACAUUAUCAACAAGACUGGUGUAGGCUUUCUUCUCGAGUUGAUUCACAUUGAGCAUAAAACACUUGUCCGUCAUUGCUACUGUGACUAACUUCUGGCCAAAUGAAUCUUUAACAAUGCAGGAGAUAUCUUUAAAGACCAAAGAAUAUCCUUUUUCCACUAACUGACCAACACUAAGCAGAUUCUGAUCUAUGUCAAGCACAAAAAACACAUCAGAAAUGAUUUUGUUACCUGAACAAGUCUUGAUCACAACAUCUCCUCUGCCUUGAGCUUCAAUUAGAUUCCCAUUACCAAUUUUGAUUUUUGCAGCAAAGCUUCUAUCAAGGUCUUUGAACAGCUUCUCAUCAGCUGCGCCAUAUGGUGUGAGCAACCACUAUCCACUAGCCAGUCACAUCUGACUUUGCUUGUGCUAGCAAAGUAGGAGGCUGUGACAAACAAUUGGGAGAAUUAUAACUGAAAAAAUUCACCUUAAUUUUUCAUUCAAAAUUUGAAUAAUAUAUGAGUUACAAAGUAAUGGGCAGUUACCUAAUGACUUAACUGCUCCCACUAAUACAAGACUAAGAUUUGUUUGAAUUACACGCAAAAGAUAGCUGACAUAUCAGCUAUUACAUCAACUUAAAUCAAAAACUAAUCCUGCUAAAUUUGUGAACAAAUUAAAAAUGAACUAGCCAAAGUUACAUAGGAACAAAAUGAUCAAAACAUAUUGUUGCAUUCGGUUCAGCUAUAUUUUUGCACUUCAAACAGUCUUGCUACUGGUGUUGCGCUGAACUACUGCUGGUCUCCUGUUGCAAUGCAGGCCAAAGCUUAACAAUCUACCUUGUUCUAAGUUAUUCGGACUCUUCAUUUUCAUUAGAAUACAUGCAUCCAACACAUAUUCAAACAUGAGUACAAAAUAGCAUGAUUCUCUAAAUAUAUGAAAAAACAUAGAAAAUGUAUUCAACAUUCAAGCACUAGUCCGAGUAACAUAGACUAUAAUAAUGAAUAGUCUUAUAUCCCUUUAUUGCAAUCUUUUAGCCAAAGAGUUAAAGCUUCGUUCUUUUCUCAAGUAGGACUUAGUCUUUAUAUAUAAUAAUGAAUAGUCAAAAUAUGCAGAAAACACUUAACAAACAUGCCAUAAAAUAAGUGAACUAAAAACAGGUUCAUCUGCAAGGUCAUCCAUAUAUAGCAGCACAUACCAGAAAUUUAGUGAGCUGUCAAGCUGAAUAUUGUCUUCACCUCCAUAGAACUAUUUGAUUGCAGCACGGCUAGUCAACAACAAGGAUAAAAUGCAACUAGUUGGGUUCUGAUGAGGACUAGUUGCAACCUGUAGGACACACUUAAAGUGCUCUUCACAAGGGUUUGUCUUACAAGAUCCAUACCUUAUUAAAAUCAACAUGCUUGGUGAGGUCACCCAUGUUACAUGUUUCCUGUCAUUUUCUGAUAGAUUUUAUGUCUCUAAACUAGGCACUGACAUAAAUGGUGAAGUGGUACAACUCUCCUACUGUAAAGAAGAAUUUUACUGGCCCAGAUCUUUCAUUCGACCAGUCCUUGGUCGGUUUCUAUUGCCAUAAGGGAUAGGCAAACUAAUUUUUCAAGGCCUCUCCCGUGGAAUUCUUGAUAAUGAGUUACAAGACAGCACCAUGUGAUCCUCCCCUAAUGAAACCAUGUCUUUCUUAUUAGUUAUCAGACCCCAGAAAUUUCCCCUUCACCACUCAUUGAACAUCCCCACUCAACACAGGAACAUGAUUUUUCUGUCUACCCCUUUCAUCUAUAUAUACAAAGAAGAAUAUGUUCAUUGGCAGCACCUAUCUUCACAUUCUCAAAAUACUACAGUUCUCUGAGAUCUUCCUCUUCUUCCUUUUUAGAAGCAUUCAUCUAUCAAAAACAACAAUGGCUAUCCGCCUGCCUCGUAUCAUUAGCUCUAAGAAAGUUCCCAAGGGCUACUUUGCAGUUUACGUUGGAGAAAACCAGAAGAGGUUCGUGAUACCAGUGUCAUUCUUGAACCAGCCUUUAUUUCAAGAUUUGCUUGGCAUGUCAGAACAAGAGUUCGGAUAUAGUCAUCCUACCGGCGGUAUUACAAUUCCCUGCAACGAAGAUAUCUUUCUCGUUGUCACCUCUCGAUUGAACUGAUUUGUGAGAGAUUUAACACAAAUCAACCCAUACAUUUUUGUAAAGCAAACAUCACUAACAUCAUGUAAACACUUUCUUUUCCCAUCCUUUUUUGCCUUGGGGAGCAGAUAAUAAGUCUCCCUAUGUGGAAAACUAGAGAUGGUGGCUUAUGUAACAAUUGGAAACACAUAAUUCAAUUGAAAUUUGAUUUCUUUUUAGAAUGUCCUAUGGUCC
rnacentral:lncRNA from 1 species